UUCCCCACAUGAAAUCAAUGGGUAGAACAGGCCAGUGGUUGUCUAUGUAAUGACCACCCAGAAACAGCAGAGAAGGAGAAUUAACGCUGAGUAUUGAGCUAAUGGAGUGAUUCUUUCUCGAAAGCAGGACCAUUGGAAAAUGGUUCUGAUGUGCCAUUUUCUUUUGAAAGAGUUGUAGGAUGAAUUUUGAGGCUCUUGCCCUGUGUGUGAUCAAAUCACAGAAUGCAUGUUCUUUAAAACAAUGGAACAUAUCGACAGGGCAGAACUAAAGAUGGAGGCAGGGCAGUUCCACUGAGCUAGUUGUCACACUUGAAACAAAUUAAGUGUUACAGAUUUUAUUACUAAGCAAAACAGUUAUAGGCUGCGGGAGUUGUCAUUAAACAACAGGUAAAAAUCUAAAAUCCUACAUGAUUAAAGCAUUAAAAUCGCUAGUAAACCAAGCAGUGACAUCUGCUAUUUUCGACACGAGGAGACAGUGCCAGUGUGGUGCCCUCCCUGAAAGCCAAGAGGAUACAUCUGCACAUUGACUGACUGUCGAGACACGUUGGGCUGAUUACCCUUGGAUACUCCUCAAAGAUUACAUCUUGCAACUAGUGAGGUCUGGCCGCCCGACAACCUGCCCGCUUGACCCCAUCUCCCCCUCCCUUCUCCACACCAUCUCUGGAGACCUCUCAUUCCUCACUUCCCUCAUCAACUCAUCUCUCACCACUGGCUAUGUCCCCUCUGACUUCAAAAUGUCCUGAGUUGCUCCGCUCUUCAAGAAACCAACACUCAACUCAUCUGACAUCAAAAACUAUAGACCUAAUGACCUUCUUGACCCAAACCAGUCAGGCUUCAAGAUGGGUCACUCAACCGAGACCGCUCUUCUCUGUGUCAUGGAGGUUCCUACCUGGCAGGUCGCUCCUACCAGGUGACAUGGAGAGGAUCUGUGUCUGCACCCCAUAGUCUCACUACUGGUGUCCCCCACGGCUCGGAUCUAGGCUCUCUCCUUUUACUUAAAGUAAAUAACAUAAUAAAAAAAUCCAC